rnacentral:rRNA from 1 species
UACGUAGGGUGCGAGCGUUGUCCGGAAUUAUUGGGCGUAAAGAGCUCGUAGGCGGUUUGUCGCGUCUGCUGUGAAAACCUAAGGCUCAACCUUGGGCUUGCAGUGGGUACGGGCAGACUAGAGUGCGGUAGGGGUGACUGGAAUUCCUGGUGUAGCGGUGGAAUGCGCAGAUAUCAGGAGGAACACCGAUGGCGAAGGCGGGUCUCUGGGCCGAUACUGACGCUGGAGGAGCGAAAGCGUGGGGAGCGAACAGG